rnacentral:lncRNA from 1 species
GGGGGGGGGGGGGGGGGGGGGGGGGGGGGGGGGGGGGGGGGGGGGGGGGGGGGGGGGGGGGGGGGGGGGGGGGGGGGGGGGGGGGGGGGGGGGGGGGGGGGGGGGGGGGGGGGGGGGGGGGGGGGGGGGGGGGGGGGGGGGGGGGGGGGGGGGGGGGGGGGGGGGGGGGGGGGGGGUUGGGAUACCUGGGUCACAACUGGGUCACACCUGGGUCACACCUGGAUCACACCUGGGGGGGACUGGGAUACCUGGAGCACACCUGGGUCACACCUGGGGGCAGAUUGGGAUACCUGGGUCACACCUGGGUCACACCUGGGUCACACCUGGGUCACACCUGGGGGGGACUGGGAUACCUGGAUCACACCUGGGGGGGUCACAUGGUUCUCCCCCAGCUGAGGGGAGUCAGGGCUCACCUGCCCAGGUGUGGGGACAGGUCAGGGCUCACCUGCCCAGGUGUGGGGUCGGGCUCACCUGGCUGGGAUUGGGGUCAGGUUUAGGAUCAG